rnacentral:rRNA from 1 species
UACAUGGGGUGCAAACGUUGCUCGGAAUCAUUGGGCGUAAAGCGCGCGUAGGCGGUUAUCUAAGUCGGAUGUGAAAGCCCUCGGCUUAACUGAGGAAGUGCAUCCGAAACUGAAUAGCUAGAGUACGAAAGAGGGUCGCGGAAUUCCCGGUGUAGAGGUGAAAUUCGUAGAUAUCGGGAGGAACACCGGUGGCGAAGGCGGCGACCUGGGUCGAGACUGACGCUGAGGAGCGAAAGCCAGGGAGCAAACGGG